UGUUGCUGUAUUUUACUUCCUUUAACAACGAAGCUCUUUGGCAAUUGAUUUUUUUAAUACCAUUGGUAAAAGUAUAGUGGUAAAGUGUAAAAUCACUUUUAAUCGUAACCCUUAGCUCAAGUUAUAUACCUAUAUAGAGUUAUUUUCUUUCAGAACCAUAGGUCAUUCUUUUUCAGAAUCACAAAAUAAUGAGUUGCUUUAGAACCAUGAAUUAGAAAGUAAAUUAGUAAAAAAGAUUUCUAGAAGCCAUUAAUUAUCUAUAUAAUUUGUGAGAGAUACCGGGCCAUUUUUUGUUUAGCCAUUUUUAACUUUAACCAUACCAUUGAUAUAAUUGAGCAGUUUUAUCACUUCUAGUCUACCUUUUUAUCUAAAUACUAAUAAAAAUACCAACAUAUAUAUUUAUAUAUAUUUCAUAUGCAAUCUUAACUUCAAACAAUAUGAGAUGCUUGCAUCAA
rnacentral:lncRNA from 1 species